UACGUAGGGUGCAAGCGUUGCUCGGAAUUACUGGGCGUAAAGCGUGCGCAGGCGGUUAUGUAAGACAGAUGUGAAAUCCCCGGGCUCAACCUGGGAACUGCAUUUGUGACUGCAUAGCUAGAGUACGGUAGAGGGGGAUGGAAUUCCGCGUGUAGCAGUGAAAUGCGUAGAUAUGCGGAGGAACACCGAUGGCGAAGGCAAUCCCCUGGACCUGUACUGACGCUCAUGCACGAAAGCGUGGGGAGCAAACAGG
rnacentral:rRNA from 1 species